GCUCCUGUGGCCUAGUGGUUAGAGUGUCCGCCUUGGAUGCAUGAUGUCGUUUGUUCGAACCCGGCUGAGUCA